ACUGCCUUAUACAGAACUCUAGAGAUGAAAAAUCAAAGGCAAUCAUUUUUUAAAAAACAGUGAUUGUUUUUCUAACAGUCAUUUAACUCCAAAGCAAGAGUUAAACCUGAAGCAGAAGUGAGUUUUAAGAGUUUCACUUGUCAUAUUUCUGUGAUAGUUCCGAGCCUGGGGCGAUCAUUUACGUGCUGUAGUUAGGAAUGAUUAUUUCAGUAUAUGGGGCCCUCUUGUCUACUGAGGGAAACCAAUUGAGAAUUUCUCCAUUUUCUUGUCUGAGGAAGAAGAGGAGGGGUCAGAAGACGAUAGCAAUGUGAAGCCAGACUUCAUGGUCACUCUGAAAACCGAUUUCAGUGCACGAUGCUUUCUGGACCAAUUCGAAGAUGACGCUGAUGGAUUUAUUUCCCCAAUGGAUGAUAAAAUACCAUCAAAAUGCAGCCAGGACACAGGGCUUUCAAAUCUCCAUGCUGCCUCAAUACCUGAACUCCUGGAACACCUCCAGGAAAUGAGAGAAGAAAAGAAAAGGAUUCGAAAGAAACUUCGGGAUUUUGAAGACAACUUUUUCAGACAGAAUGGA
rnacentral:lncRNA from 1 species